UCAAAAUUAUGCUUCUAGGUUUUAUCCAUGUUGCUGUAGGUAACUAUCAGUUAUUCAUUUUUAACCACCAUGUAGUAGUAUUUCCUUAUAUGAGUGUACCGCAGUUGAAUCAUCAAUUUCCUUCUGUUGGGAAAAAUAAGGAAUGAUGCUCUCUGUUUGAGUAAUCUGUAAGUGUUUCUUUAGAGUUCAUACACAGGACCAGAAUUUCACGGUAUGCAAUUUGACUUUACCAGUUAUUGCCUGCCCGAUUGUUUUCUAAAAUGGUUAUAAAUUUACAAUCCCAUCAGAAAUGUGGAAAAUUUCCAAUUUCUUUGAGUCUCAACCAACCUUUGAUAUUGUUACAUUUAUAAAUUUUUUUCUACCCAAUUGGGGUGAAAUGACAUCUAUAUUAGCCAGAACUCAGAAAACCAGACACCACACAAGGUAUUUCAAAGAGAAUGAAUUUAAUACAGGAAAUUGGCUACACAGAUGUUGGAGAGCUGAUAGGGCAAAAAGGGAACACAGGGGUAACUCAGAGAUAAUAACUGCAGGAAGCAGGUACCAACCCUAGGGCUACAGGAACAAAAGAAGUUUGGGAAUCAGGACCUAGGAACUCAGAGUAUGGGUUCUGCAGUCCUGCAGAACUGGUGCUGAGACCAGGGAAUGGUAUGUGGCUGCUAUUGGUAUAUGGAAGGAUUGCGGUGAGGCUGGGUUUGGGAGUACGGAAAGAAAGUAGGGGCUGGAGCCAACUGCUGCUGCUGGAGUGAUGCUGGCAGGAAAGGAAGAAACAGGAACCAAGUCCCUUCUCUCCUCAUCUUGCCUUCCAAUCUUCCUCGAGUGCCUUUCAUUGCGGGAACCUAACAGGAAGCCAGGUGGUUCUGGAGUCUGGGAAGCGUUGGGUUUGGAGUCCUGGCCUCAGCAAGAGCAGAAUACAAAAGGGUAGAUGUGAGCUGAGAGACACUGGGUAAAUAAUCUGCAUAGAAUCGCACUGUGUGUAUAUUACAUCUCGGUUCUUUCCAUUUUUAUAUGUAGCUAUUUUAAAUGGUGCUUCACAAACAUCCUUGCACAUACGUUUUCCUUAGAACUUGUUUCCGAAAGUAGAAUUACAGAGUCAAAGAAAAUGCAUAUUUUUAAGGCUUUUGGUCCAGGCUGACAAAAUCACCAGAGAGUAGGGUUUGGAGGAAAGGGAGUCCCCCCACCACCCCACACAGUGUAUUCCUGGAAACCGCAUCACAGAGCAGAUGGUAGUGGAGGAGAUCAUCUUUCUAUGCUGGGGCGCUCUUACCUGAGGAUUGCUUCCUGCCCAGGGAAUGAGUACCAGGAGACUGCAGUUCUAACAACGCUAUCUCAGAAAACGAGAGCUACAGCCUGAAACUUCUGCAUCAUUUAUACUAGUUAUAUUAGUCUCUGAAUUUUAUAUCUAUUACCCAUUGACCACAGUGAAUUAUAAAGUGUACCCACACAACUGAAGCACACAAAGAUGUAAUUCUACAGUAUCACUCACGCAAUCUACCACCAGUGAUGUAUCCUUCUGCUGAGUGCUCAGUAUUAAAUUAACUGUGGAUUUGUUGGCUUAAUUGGGCUUACAGGGGCCAGGAGUGUGUGUAUGUGUGCAGUGAGUCUGGGCAGCUGGAAGGCAGAGGCUAGAGGGAGUGUAGAGAGGAGAUAAAAGUCUGAGUUCAGGAGGGUGAAGAAAGUUGGGGUCAGUUGGCACAGUGUGAGCCCCAGAGGCAUUUAGGGGAACAGAAAGUGCAGUGGAAAGAGGGAUGCAUGGGUGUGAAGGCCUGGGAAUCCAUGGGGCAGUGCCGAAGAAACACCUCACCUGUAUCACCAGACAGCUAAGAACUACUCCGCCUGGCCCAGAUUCUUUGGCCUGUGUCUCUACUCAGCUCUGAUGAGUGCAUGAAUCCCUAAUCAGAUGACUGCAAUCACAAGACUCCCCUCCAGCAGGUAAUCAAGAAGCCAGAGCCCCUGAACACUGGGCCAGGUAUCCAUCUCCAAGGGAGCUGCCCCUCCCACGGUCAUCUUGGAGCAAAGCCCUGCAAAGGGACAUUGGCCUUGGCUGGAUAUUGUGGGAAAUGCAGAGUUGAAGUCUGGGCCUUGAAGAAAUCUUCUCAUAAUUUUUCUAGCUCUUAACACUUUCUGAAAUGUGUCUGGGGCAGUUGGGAGAAGGCUCCUAAGCCGUAUCCAGCCCUAACUAUUCUCUGAAUUGUCUCCUGGAUGUCUCUUGGCAUCUUCCUCUCACCAAGGCAGAACUCCCAUCGGGACAAGAACUAUGUCUGUUUGGCACACCAUAAUAUACCCAGAGCCCCAUGCAGUGCUUAGCACAGAUACUCAAGACAUACUGAUUGGAUGAAGGAAUGGGGUUCUAAUACAAAAAUGUUAACUUUCCACCUGCAGACAGUUCCAUCUCUGGGCUGCCUUGUCUGUCACUGAUGUUGCCAUAGUCAUUUCAAAUUGAUUCUCCCUCUUCCUCCUUCUCUCAUCCAAUUGGUCAUGUUCAUUCUAUCACCACUCCAGUGCCCUAGUGUCAUCCUCUUUCUGUGCUUUAUGCCGUCCUUUGACUUCACAUCCAAAACGCCCAUCGGGGUUCCCUUUCACUUUCAGGAUAAAAUCUAAACUUCUUAGUUCGGCCUUCAAGGCCCACCAUUGGCCUCCAGCAUCCUUCUGUCUGCCUCAUCCAUUUCUCUCCUGCGUGUCUCCUGAUGCUGCCAACCUGGUCUCCUCCUAACUGCUCACAUAUAUUCUGGAUUUACUUGUCCUUAGAUCUGGGCUCAUCUCCCUGCCUGUAAUCUCCUCUUUUUACUGGCCAAUCCUGUUUGAUGAUUUCUCCUUCCACUGAACUGAGAAUCAGAUUGAAGUCACAAUAUGAGACCAGCUCUGUGUCAUAGUAGGUGUUGGGAGCUGGUGAUGAAGCUGAGGCUCUGCUAUGUGUAGUGAUGGCCGAGGUCACACAGCUGGUAAUAACAGCUGCCACUUAUUGGCUGUCUUCUAUGUUUUAGGUCCUCUUCUAGGUGUUUUACACACUUUCUUUCCAAUAUGCUCAGUACACUUGCACCAUAUCACUCAAGUAAGGAUAUAGCAUUAAAAGAUUCCACAACUGUGCCUAUUGCCAGGCAGGACCAUUGCGGGAAACUGGCUUAGUGAUGGAGUAAGUCAUGGCUGGAGUAAGGAGAGGAUAGGAUCUUGGAGUGCUGCUGAGGACACCAGGGGUCACCUUGUAUAAUAAAUGCUCAGUUCCUGGGGAAGGCAAGAGAAAGGAAAGGAAAGAUGCCAGGAAAAAAAAUCCUCCAUUUGUAUCAAUGUCUCAGGUGGGGCCUGGGAUUCUGUAUGUCUAACAAGCUUCCAGGUGAUUCAGACGCUGCUGGGCCCUGCACUUUGGGUAGCAAAGCUGUAGGAAGGUUCCAUCUUCCUGUGACUGGGGUGUCUGGAUUGAUGUGUGACCAGGGCCUAGGGUCAGUCUAUGACUGGGGAAUUGGGUCAGUUCAAAACUGAAGAAUUGUACAAUUGACUGCACUUUUGAUUUUGACCAACACUGCAUCUGUCCUCCAACCUAUAGCUACAAGUCAUAAUAAAAAAACCACACAAGAGUGAGGGAGGAAAAAAGAGAUUUCCCCUGAAAGGGGAGGUGCAGAGCACGUCGGGGAAAGAUUCCCGUACUGUCCGGGUUGGUUAGCUCCUUUUUCGUAAAGGUAAUUUCUCCCUCUUCUUCUCUCACUCUCCCACCCUGCAUUUUACAUAUGUCCUUAACAAAGAAAUAUAUGGUUAGUGCCACAUCUGGGAGCCUUGUCUGCGAGGCCUGAUGGCAAUAUAUAAUCAGUUUGGGAGAGGGGGCAGCACAGCAUAGAGAAAGGAAAUGGUUUCUCUAGACUAGGAAAGAAAAAAGGAAGAGAAGGAAACCAACAUGCAUUGAGCUCCUACUAUACACAAGGCACUCUACUAGAUGUUUAUAUGUAAGCCAAUCAUUCAUCUUCCCAAGAAUAAAAUACAUUUCUUAUCUUAUUUCACAGAUAAGGAAACUGAAGUUCAUCAAGGCAUCAAGUACCCAUGGUUGCUUGAGUGUUAAAGCCAGGACUAGAUCUGUAAUCUCAAAAUCCUUGCUGCCUCAUGGGACCUGGUCAGAUGGGUGCAGUUUGGGACACAAUGCAUUUAAGAAGCCUGUGGAGUGGGUGGGGGGAGCAAUACUCAGGUGGAGUGAUUGAGGUCCUAGAAUUCCCACAUGGCAGAAACUGCUCUCUUCUUCUUCCUCAGUGUUCAGAAUACCUGCGUUUUAGCUAGACACAGCCAUUUGGAAUGAAGAUUCUGCUUCUCAACCACCCACAGAGCUGGGUGUGGGUAUGUGUUAAGUUGUGAGUAGUGGGAAGUGUGGGAGGGUGGUUCUUACCUACCUUUGCCCCUCUGUGCUCCCUUUUCCUUCCUGCAGCCUGGAAUGAGGCUGUGAGGCUCCAGCAGUCGUUUUGUGCCAUGAGGCAGUAGAAACCUGGGUUCCUGAUGACUGUGGAGAUGCCAAACUAAUCUGGACCUUCAGAUUCCAUACCUGCAAGACACAUGAACAUCUGUCUUAUCCAUCCCUGGAGAGGAGCCCUGAGGGAGAGCAUCCAGGCCAUCCGGAUUUUCUGCAUGGAAGACCUGGCUGACCGCUGCCUGGGCUGCCUUUCAAGUCUCACCGAAUUAUGAAGUCAACUACUGGGUGUUUAGAAUGUCUCAAGUUCAAAGACUAGCAGGCUGGAAGCAGACAUCCGAGGGACCUUCAGGCACCUUAGCAGGAGGAAUAUUAAGAUGUGGCACGCUGGGCUUAUCAGGAGACUGGAUAGGGAAUCAGAAGGAAUACAUUUUUAUUCUGCGAGCUGCAAAGUUCAGGAGUCGUUCUUCUGAUAUCAGGCCCAUUGCUGACUGUGCUAGGAAAUGUGGAAAGCUGCAGCUGCAGAGAGCUGGCUGUGCCUGCUCCACUGCAGUUCUCAGUUCUCUCACACCUGUCUGUUUAGAAAGGAGCAGGUGGGCUGUGAAGCUCUGCAGGAUUCUUCUCAGUGCUGGGGCAUUAGGAGAAAUGGUGGUGACAGCCACUCUGGGCAUCAGAACUGAAUACCUGCUCCCCACUCCUGUCAGUUGCACAGCCCAGCUCCCGGCUUCGCUGCAGUGGGAGGGGAGAUGAGGGACUCUUAAACUCAGAACAUGACUGACCAAGACCCUUACAGCUGGGGUGGAGGUAGGGGCCCGAAGGCAGGUUCUGGAGGUGGGGAGCAAGUCUUCUGGUUGUUUUCCUGGCAACAGCAGGAAUAAUAGAGUCUAGGUUCUGCCUGGCUCAGGAGCUGGGGUGUUUGGCCUGUCUUUCCUCAGUCCCUUCUGCUAUAGAUACUGAUAGUCCUCUGCCACUAGGCUCUGCUACCGAGUCCCUGAGCUCUUCCUGACCUAGCCUGGCUCUGAGUGGGGAGCCAGCAUGGCAGAGGGUGGGCCUGGUACUAGUUGUGUCUCCCUGAAUACAGGAUCUGAGAGCUGGGGGUCUUUGGACACCCAGAGCCCAUAAGCCUGUUCUCUUCCCUCACUGUAGGUUCCCAAGCCAAUGGCUGGUUCCUGAUUUUACCUAGUCUUCUGCACUGGGAUAAGAACCUGACAUCCAGCUUCCCCUUUGGGAGCAAGGCCUCUUCCAGGGGCUGCUCCUGGUCUGUGUUUUCCUCUGCAGUUUGGGAGCCUAUUUCCCCCAUGAGGGCCCUAACCCUACCCACGAAGACACUACACACCCUGCUUUGAAUUAAUGUCCAGACUGGACUCCAGAUGCAGCCUCGGAUUAGACCCAAUUUGGCCACGUCUUCCUGGAGCUGUCUAGUAAUUUGGAAUCCACCCUGCUCCCUACUUAGCCACAUGCAAAGCAGGGUCCAUCUCCCAGCCUGGUUCUGCCUUUUCGUCAGUCUUACAUGUGUGUGUCUGAGUACAUGUGUCAGUCAGUGAUCAUGCCAGGAUGGCCAGUUGGACUUGUGUCAGCAUGUAUAUGUGUUCCUUGAGGCUGUCCCGUGCAGGUGUGCACCAAGUUCUCAGCCCAGUUCUGAUGUCUGUGUGUGAAUAUGCCCAGAUACAUCAUGAACAUGGCUGGGAUGCUAGGAGGGGGAUCAGUAUGCAUGACAUUGCAUGUCUUCAAGUACACAGGUAUGUGUCUAUGCACACGCACAAACCUCUCUAAUAUGUAUGUAUGCAUGUGUACAUGUGUAUAUAUGGCUAAGUGUGUGUCUGGGAGUGUUUGACCAUGUCUGAGAUGAGUCUUCUGCCCAUUCUGAAAGGAAAGGGGACAGGGGUCCACUCUCCCUUUUUGUAGUCACACUGUGGUUGGGGCUGGCUUGUGACAGAGGGAGUGAAGGUAAGUGCCCCUCAGAACCUUCUGGGAUCUUUCUGCCUAACAUUCUGAGACUUCCCCAGCUUUUUCCUAGCCUUGCAGCCUUGGCUUUUAGUACUUCAAGAUUAUUUGGCCAGGUGCGGUGGCUCAUGCCUAUAAUCCCUGCACUUUGGGAGGCCAAGGCGGGCAGAUCAUUUGAGGUCAGGAGUUUGAGACCCAGCCAACAUGGUCAGACUUCGUCUCUACUAAAAAUACAAAAAUAAGCCAGGUGUACUGGCAUGUGCCUGUAAUCCCAGCUACUUGGGAGGCUGAGGCAGGAGAAUCACUUGAAUCCAGGAGACAGAGGCUGCAGUGAGUUGAGAUUGCACCACUGCACUCCAACCUGGGUGACAGAGUGACACUUGGUCUCAAAAACAAACAAACAACAACAACAACAAAAACAACAAAACAAGAAAAGAAGAUUAUCUGGUGCCUUGGCCCAGUCCCCACCCUUCACUUUGGAAAGGGUGUACCUGUAAAAGGUACCAGAGGAAGCCCAUACCCCCAUAUUUAGUCUGGCAAUGAAGUCAACCAUUCAGGACUUGCCUACUGUGGUCUGUGUAGGUCCUCCUCCUCCCCUGCUCAGGUCCAGGCCAUUGUCCUCAGUGGGACAGGGAGGCCCAGGGAGGGACUCCUGGCCUGGCUGUUCUGGAGGCCUGGGCUUGCCAGAGGCCUUCAGCUUUGACAGAGGACUCCGGGCUGUUUGGAGGCACUUCCAAGGCCCCUGUGCUGUGUCAGGGGCAGGAGGUGAUGGCGGGGGGUGGGUAACAUGUCCAGAGCUUCCCCUUCCCAACAAGUCUGUGGAUGGGCAGGGAGAACACUCGUGGGGAAACUACCAAUUUAAAUCGGAAACGCAAGCAAUUUGGAUAGAACCCCAGGACUGCAGUUUGAGAGCUCGUUCUCUGCCCCGUGGGGGUUUGAUUACAACCAACUUGGCUGAUCACGUGCAGAGAGGGCCAGAGAAAUGGUUUCCAAGGAAACUCAGAUCUUUCUAAGCCCCUUCUGGCUCAGGUGGGAGCCAGGGCUGGCCGGGAAAGCAGAGGCUGUGCUGAGUACCAUGGGGCUCAAUUCCCGGUGAGCCCUCUGCCCACUCUCUGCCUGCUUCUGUGCUUAUCCUUGCUUCCCCAAACCCGGCCUGCACUUUCAUUCCUGUUUACAAUAGUUGUUUCUCUCUUUGUCUCUGCUCCCUUAGUCUUCUUAUUUAUCUCGGUUGAUGUCUGCACUUGGGAAAGUUGGCAAAAAGUUAAAAAAAAUUCUUAUUUUUUCUUAUUAAUGGUGAUUAAAAAUAUCACGAACAAUCUUCUACAUACACUCAUUUACUCUUUUUCUUUGUAGGCCGUGGAAACAGAAAUCUAGUGGAGGACUCUGAUCCCUAGGGGAUGUAGGGUCACUGGACCCAAUUCCUGUAUAAUCUUGUGUGGUAUUUCCCUGCUUCUGCUCACCUUCAUUGGAUGGUAAUGUUACGUUUGUUAACCCACUAAGGUUUUGGGGGUUGUUUAUCAGGCAGUUGUCUAGCCUGAUAACACAAACCUGAAAGAAGGGCAUUCAGCACCUACUCUGUUCCAGAAAUGCCACAGGAUUUAGUUCUAUUAUUUCCAUUUUCACAGCAACCAUAUGGCAGACAGGAUACUAUGAGUUCAUCAAACCUUUUUUCUUCUGAAACUACAUUUCCCAGCAUGCCUUGCUAUAAGGUUGCAUCAUGUGACUGAGUGCUGGCCAAUGGAAUGUGGGUAGGAGUAAGAGAUGGCACUUUUGUGGCUGCUCUCCCCCAAAAUAUCAUGAACAAUCUUCUACACAUACUCAUUUCCUCUUUUCCUUUGUAGGCUGUGGAAACAGAAAUCUAGUGGAGGACUCUGAUCCCUAGGGGAAGUAGGGCCACUGGACCCAAUUCUUGCAUAAUCCUGUGUGGUAUUUCCCUGCCUCUGCUGACCUUCAUUAGAUGGUAAUGUUACAUUUGUUAAGCCACUAAGGUUUUGGGGGUUGUUUAUUAGGCGGUUGUCUAGCCUGAUAACACAAACCUGAAAGAAUAGCAUUCUUAUCCCUAUUUUUCCAUGGGGGAAAUGGGCUCAGAGAUACUAAGUAACUUGCUAAAGUCACACAGCAAUUAAGUGGCAAAUCCAGAUUUGAGCUCAGGUUAUGUCUUUUCCACUAUCCCAGGCUAACAGGAUGAUUGUUCCUGUGUAGAUGUUGCCUUGGUCUUUGUCUCCUGAGGAGUCACAGAAAGAAAGACACAGACAAGGACUGGGAGGUAGGGAAGGAGGGAGCAGCUGGGGGGCAGGUGUGUAGUGGUGCAUCAUAGCAGCAAAGGGAGGUAAAGGUUCUAGGAAGGGGUGGUCAAUUGUGUCUAAUGAGACCCAGCCAGGUGGAGGAGGAAGAGGGCUGGGAAGAGCCCAUUAAAUUUAAUGACCUCAGUGACAGUUUUAUCUGAGUGAUGGGGCAGAUGCCAGCUUGCAGGGGGUUUGGGAACAAGUCAGUGAUUAUGACGGUUAAGGGAAGGAGAGAGGAAAAAAAAGAGAGAUAGCUUUAAGUGGAAGCCAGGCCAAAGGAAAACAUUUUGAGAAGGAAAUCAGUAGUUAGGGAGAGAUUAAAAAUAAGAAAGGGAAUCAUGACCUACAUAACGCAAAACAUCUGAAUGUGAUGAUUUCCUCCUUUAGGCUUGGUUCUGCUGUGCAUUUCCAGGGCUAAGCAGACUGGCCAGGAAGCAGGGAGCAGGGAGGUUGGACACAGCCAGCAAGUCAUGCAGCAUUAGCUGGCCUGAGUGGGCAAGCAGGUGGCAGCUGAAGUAUUGUGAAUUGAAAGCCUGAAAUUCUUCAGGAUCUUCUAAGAUUAUAUAUUUGAUUGGGUCACAGAUUUAAUGCGGAUAAGCCUAGUUGAUCAACCUCAGGAGUAGAGGGUGCUGUCACCUGCACAACACCUACCACAACUUCCUAGAACCUAGUGGCCGAGCUUGUUAAGUGUCCCAAAAUGCCCAUUCUCUCCUUCCUUUUAGUCAAGGAGCCCUGAAUUUUAGGGAAGAACAUGAUCAUUUAGCUCAGGACCACAGUUCCCAGACUCCCUGCAACUGGAUGUGGAUGUCUACUCAGUUCUUGCUAAAAGGAUGUGGGCAAUUUCCAGAGCACAUCCUUACAUGGAAGCUAUUUGCAGUGAACAUUGUCUAUUUCCUCCUUUCAAUGAGGUGGAACUUGAAAGUGCUGGAGAUGAGCUAGCUGUGGCUGUAUGGACAAAGGCAAGACCCUAUGGGAUGGCCGAGCAACCAGACAGAAGAACUCUUGAGACCUCAAGGAAAAGAACUGCCCGCAACUGCUCUUGACACUCUCUCCCUCUGGCCUGUUGUGUGGGAGAGAAAUAAACUUCUACGUUAUUCAAA